CCCCGCCCCCUGCCUUGCGCUUCUCUGCCCCGGCGACCAGCCGCGCCGCGGGAGCCGGGGGAAGCGGCUCCGCGCUUCGCCGCCGCCUUGUCCCGUGCGAAGUGCCCCAGAGCCCCCCCAGCGCAGCACGCGUUUGGGGCGGGGGCGGGGGAUCCCCAGCGCUUCUGAAAGCAAACGACUCCGUCGGUCACAGAUUCACACCGAUUCACAGGGCUGGAAGGGACCUCGUGAGAUCAGCGGGUCCAGCCUCCCCCUGCUCGGGGGUCGACAAGGCUCCGUGGCUCUUAUUAGACCCCCUAACUACUUGAGUCAGUUGGAAGCAUGUGCCCCUUGGUCAAAUCAGUUCCAAAUCAUAUCAAGUGAGCAAAACUCAAUCGUUCCAAACACCAUAUUGAUUGAGCGGGCAGAAAACAGUCAUUCUAAACACUGCAUAUGGCGCUGCAACCAGCGAGCGUCCCCCUGGCACUUCAGAUACUCCCAAAUCCAUUGGCAGGCAUCCUACAUGCAAGCCCAAGCCUGGAGGUCUUGGGAUCUGGAUGCCCCCACUUAAUCUUAGUCCACAAGAGACAACAUCAGGCAAAGCGGUCCCAGUGGCCCAUGCUGUGAAAGUCAGGGUUGACUGGUAUCCCGACCUGCUUUCACCGCCUGCAGGAUCACCUCCAGCCUCCCUCACCUUCAGGAGAACAUAUGGCACCUUGCAUUGAGAAGUGUAAAUCCAGGCAUCAGCACAGAUGCUUUAUGGAAGGCGAUUUCUGCAGUGCCAUGCAUGAGAUGCACUGAGACUCUGCCGAGUAUCAGGGACGAGGGCCACCGGCAAUGCAUGACAGCACAUGGCGCUUUCCAUCUGAAGGGACUCAAAAGACCUCUUUGCCUGGAGCUGUGAUUCUCAACCAGGCUGCGCGGCACCCUGGGGUGCCUUGAGAUCCUUGCAAAGGUGCUGCGGGGUACCACAUGGUGUUAACACUGACUCACAAGAGAAACCCAGAGAUUUCAAGUAGGAAAUCUGGUGGGUUGAAAACCGGCUGACUUGUUGUGGUCUUUCUGAGUGCUUUGCAAUAGAAGAAUUGUUCUAGUAUUGUUCUGUAGCAAAAAAACAAGAGAAAACGAAGAGCUGGGUUUUUCCAAGGGCUGCCUCGAGUCUAAUGCAGGAUGUCUUCAGUCUAAAAAGGCUGAGAACCACUGGCCUGGAUAGGAGCAGAUAAUCCAUCGCAGUUCUGUGAGGGAGGGGUCCCCUGUGCUGUUUCUAAUAAUGUGGAAGUUCCUUACUUCUUCCUCUUCUUCCUCCCACAUUAAACCUAGCAUAGUGAUAGUCUCUGGCACUGGCUGCAGAGUGGGCUCAUUUAGCCCCUAAUCUUCUGAAGAUCCAAACCUAGGGAUCUUGGUGUUCUUCUCUGAAGUGUUUUCAUUUAAAAUGAUCACAAAGUGUCGAGUCAUUACUGGUGGUUCAUGGGGAUGACUGAAUGCUAGAGUAGCAAGGGGAUGCUGCGUUCAGGACUGAAUGGCACUGCAGAGCUCUGUAAUGGCCCUGGGGCUGGCACAGCAGUGUAGUCCACUGAUUGAUCAGACUGAGGCACUCCAGCUGUUUUUUUUAUACAGAUCCAGGACUAGGACAGUGGGAAGGACUGUGGGUCAGUACUCUGAGCAGAGCUGUGAGAAGCCCAGGAAUGGAGUAGCAGGGAGCAGAGGUGAGGACUGAUGUACCUUGGGGGUGUGGUGUGGGGAAAGACCAGGAUUAGGAUGGCAGGUCAGGACUGAGUCCCUGUGGAUGAAUUGUGACAGGACCCAGGUCUACAAAGGCAGGAGGGGCUGAAGGUCAGGAUGGAGGUACACUGACUGAGCUGGGAAAGAAGAGCUUGCAUAGUGUUUUGCCCUCGUUGACUGGCUCAUGUUAGUGUUCUCAGACCCUGACUUUCAUGAGCACUAAAAUUCACCACAUUUUUAAGAGGGCAAAAGGCCUGGCUAGAACAUAUGGGCUCUUCUUUCUCAAAUGUAAAGGAAACCUCAGUUGUGAAGCUGGAGUGCAGGGGGCUUCAUUCCUUAGUGAAAGCAGAGAGGGGAAGUGCAGAUGUCACAGCUGGGAAGGGAGAUUUAUCUUGGCAAACAGGGAGGAAAAAUACUUUCAAAAAGAAAAGAGAAAACUCACAAGAAUCCCCUCCCCAUUUGUACAGCCUGCCAACAUGAGCAGAACCUGCAAAGGUCUUAAUCUCCGGGAACUGAGCUGGAGCCCAGCUGGACUAGACCUUUGCUGGUUUCUCUUUGGAGAGAAACCAGGGGUUUCACUGCAGGAGUGGCAAGACUGUGAGAACUAAACUGUAUUUGAAGUGGGAUUGUCCCAGGGCACCUCAGUAGGAGCGAGCCCAUAACCAACGAGUGGGGAAGGAGAGAGCAGAGGGAAGGCGAGUCCCAGCCCAGGUGACUGCGGAGGGUGGGAGGAAUGGAGAGCUCACGUUUGAAAGCCUGGAGACUUUCAGGAUAUCAGCUCCAGACGUAACCAUUGUAUAGUGAGAAAGGACAGAUUAAAGAUGCACAUGCACGUAGAGUUUGGGAUCCAGGCAACACUGAAUGUGAGGUCAGAGUGAAAACAUGUGGUAGAAACAUGUUUGGAAGAUUCAGUGUAUGUGUCAGUCACCAGAACCGAGGGUGCUGGAGCCAGGGACUGACAGAUUCAUGCUCUGCCCUUGUGGAUGGAGUGGCUGAGGCACCAGCAGAUUUUCUGCUGGCCUCAGGGAUGCUUUGAGGAUCUCUUGUGCUUGGAGGCAGGGUCAGUGGCUCCCACACAUGGGCAUGCAUUUGCACAUCCCAUCUCCAAACAACCCCCAUUCCUGUGAAACAGAGCUGAGGGUGAAGGGGGAGCCAGAAACCGUGGCUUGGAUCAGGAAAUCCAGCACAUCCUCACCAUGGUGCUGCUGUCCCUUGGCUGCCCCCUCCCUGACCGCCCGCUGGUAAUACAGUGCUGGAAAUGCAUCUCAUGCUAUUUCUUGGCUGCAGAGCAUGGUCAGAGGGAGAGAGAAAGAAGGAGGGUGUGAAAGGGAGGGGGGAGAUAACAGGAGGGAAUGAUGUGAGAGGAGACUGUGGUGUUAGCUUUGGAUCUCAUCUGGAAGAUGUUUUCUUCGAGUUGAUUUUACACCCGUUCCCUUUGGGCUGGGUGGUGAGGAUCCCAUUUCCUAGCUAAGGAUCACAUUAUCUGUCCCCACUGCUCAAGCCAGAGUUAUUUAUAUAAAGGUCAUUUCAGAUAUGGUGAGGGGGGCUCUAGGUGCAACUCACUCCAGAACCUGUUGUCUCCACACAAAAAUGUCUCCUCUGCUGACUCCCAAAAGAACGAUUCUUGACAGUUUUCAGCCUAGCAGGAAGCUCCUCCCAAAGGGAGUGUCUAGGCCUGGCAGAGGCUGUGAGGUUCUAAGCCUGUUCUGUCUUCUCAGGGCUCCAUCUUCGUUCCUGUCUGAGCCCACAUUCUUUCCUUAGGUCUCAAGUUCAACCUCAUCAGCACACCUCUUUAUGCUUAUACUUUAUCCUUAUUGCUGCAUCAUUAAUUCAAGUCAAUACAAGGUCUAGCCUAGAGAGUUCUACCAGGUAGUAUAAAGGCCCUCAGUUUAGUGACCAGCAAAGAUUUCAGGCCCCAACAUGCAAUGCACCAUCUGGGUCUGAGUAGCCAGAGCAUUUUGCACACUGGAAUCUGUAUUUUUCCUCAGGUCUUUCCUCCUAAUUAAAGAUAAGGACAUUUGUAACCACCUGCCUUUCAUGUAAAUUAGGUACAGCUCUCCAGGUCUUGGCAAGAUGGCCGUGGAGGCCCAGGUAGGAUUCAAUUUUGGCAUCCUGUGGUUAGGUGAUUUUAUAUGUAUUCAGUAAAUGUUUUUCUGACAGCAUCCACCACCAUUGGCCCUGGGCUGCCUAUCCUUGUGGGAUCCAUGCAGCCCAACACAGCAGGAUCUGGAUGCCUGGAUACUGUUUUAUCCUUUUGUGUUUCACCUUUACUGCUAAGAAAUUUACUCCUGAGUUAAUUUUGCCUGUUGGCAGCAUGGGAAAUGACAGCCUGUCAACAGGAGUUCUGUGACCCAGUAGUUCAUGUGCCCACCUGUUCUGUAAUCUCUAACAUAACAGCAUCCAGUUGUGAAGUGAUAUUAUCACCUUUGACUCUGCCCACAUCUCUCCCACCUUCUUUGUGUCUCUUAGCUUCUCCCAAUUUCCUUUGGUAAAAAUACCAAUUUAUAGCUCUAUGAUUGCUCUGUGUGUGCACUUCCAGUGUGAGGGAGUCUGAUUCCUGGUGCCAUAUUUGAUAAUAACCAUAAUUAUCCCCAGUCUCAGAGGCUGGCCUACCUUAAACACAGGAUUCUCUUAUCUCUGCUCCCCCGACUCAGAGAUACCCUAGGAUUAGUGCUGAGUGAGUAAAUGAGCGCUUGGUGAGAGAUGAAAGGGAGUUGCACUGAUGAGAAGGCAUUUACAAUAUUUAUCCUUGCUGAGAAAACAAAAUCAUAGGGGCCAGGGGAGGGUUACACUGCUGCAUCCACAGAUCUCUGGCUGAACCCCUUGUGUCUCUCCUCCCAUGCUUCUUUUCUCACCAUACAAUUUAUCUCAGAUCCUGGUCAGAGAUAUAAGAGCAGACCCCCAGCCUUUUUUGCAAUGACAUAAUUGAGCUCUACAGCCACAGUCUCAAAAGUGGCCACUCAGCCUGGGCCCCAAAAAUAAAUGCCCCAAAUCAACAGCUACCUUUGAAAACAUUGGUGUGGAUGUUGGUUUGAGCCAAACAGCUCUAAAAUGAUGAGAAAAUCAUCCCUUGUCUCGCUUCUAAUCUGUUAAUAUCCUUUCU